GAUGAACGCUGGCGGCGUGCCUAAUACAUGCAAGUCGAGCGAAUGGAUUAAGAGCUUGCUCUUAUGAAGUUAGCGGCGGACGGGUGAGUAACACGUGGGUAACCUGCCCCAUAAGACUGGGAUAACUCCGGGAAACCGGGGCUAAUACCGGAUAACAUUUUGAACCGCAUGGUUCGAAAUUGAAAGGCGGCUUCGGCUGUCACUUAUGGAUGGACGCGCGUCGCAUUAGCUAGUUGGUGAGGUAACGGGUCACCAAGGCAACGAUGCGUAGCCGCACUGAGAGGGUGAUCGGCCACACUGGGACUGAGACACGGCCCAGACUCCUACGGGAGGCAGCAGUAGGGAAUCUUCCGCAAUGGACGAAAGUCUGACGGAGCAACGCCGCGUGAGUGAUGAAGGCUUUCGGGUCGUAAAACUCUGUUGUUAGGGAAGAACAAGUGCUAGUUGAAUAAGCUGACACCUUGACGGUACCUAACCAGAAAGCCACGGCUAACUACGUGCCAGCAGCCGCCGUAA
rnacentral:rRNA from 1 species